GCGGAGGAAAAGAAAAUAACAAUGAUUUCCCUAGUAACGGCGAGUGAAGAGGAAAGAGCUCAAAGUUGGAAUCCGGCUGCCCUAGGUAGUUGGAGUUGUAAACUGGAGAAGUGUUUUCCAGGCGAGCCAAGCGAAUAAGUCCUUUGGAACGGGGCAUCAUAGAGGGUGAGAAUCCCGUCUUUGGCUUGAGCGAUUCGUCUAUUGCGAUACACUUUCAAAGAGUCAGGUUGUUUGGGAAUGCAGCCUAAAUUGGGUGGUAAAUCUCACCUAAAGCUAAAUAUUGGCGAGAGACCGAUAGCGAACAAGUACCGUGAGGGAAAGAUGAAAAGAACUUUGAAAAGAGAGUUAAACAGUAUGUGAAAUUGUUGAAAGGGAACCGUUUGGAGCCAGACCGGCCGUUCUAUAAUCAAUCUCUGCCUCGGUGGGGAUGCACUUGUAGGGCGUUGGCCUGCCAACAGCAAUUUUGCCUGAUGGAAAAAACCAUGAGGAAUGUGGCCCUUCGGGGUGUUAUAGCCUCUUGGAAAAUACAUUGGGCGGGAUUGAGGACUGCAGCAAAUGCUCUUUAGGGCGAAAUACCUGGGCGCUUGUGUUGAAGACGUGUAGAAUCUCUGCUUCGGGUGGUGCUAUGCUCUGAUGUGCAACUCGCUUAGACUAUUUUCUAUUUUUGCUUAGGUUGUUGGCUUAAUGACUCUAAAUGAC
rnacentral:rRNA from 1 species